GACGAACGCUGGCGGCGUGCUUAACACAUGCAAGUCGAACGAUGAAGAAAAGAAUCGAAGCUUCGGCAGAAAUUCAUUUCGGAUUAGUGGCAGACGGGUGAGUAACGCGUGAGCAACCUACCUCUUACAAAGGGAUAGCCUCGGGAAACCGGGAUUAAUACCAUAUAACAUUGCGACGAAGCAUUUCGAUGCAAUCAAAGCUACGGCGGUAAGAGAUGGGCUCGCGUCCCAUUAACCAGAUGGUGAGGUAACGGCUCACCAUAGUAACGAUGGGUAACCGGCCUGAGAGGGUGAACGGUCACACUGGAACUGAGACACGGUCCAGACUCCUACGGGAGGCAGCAGUGGGGAAUAUUGCACAAUGGAGGGAACUCUGAUGCAGCGACGCCGCGUGAGUGAUGAAGGAAUUCGUUUCGUAAAACUCUGUUCUAUGGGAAGAAAAGGACUGUACCAUAGGAGAAAGCUCCGGCUAAAUACGUG
rnacentral:rRNA from 1 species